GCUUUUUUUUAUGAAUAUUUGAAAUUUGUAUAAAUAGGCCAUUGCCUCUCUUCAACCAGUUCAGUUGUUUCAUUUUUAGAACAGCGGUAUAUACUCACGAUCAAACAGCGAACAAAUAUUCAAUUUUCAAACAUGCGAAUCGGCAAUUUUAACAUAAAUUUCUUUAAGAUUUUCUUGUUACUUAUCCUCGUUUUGGCAAUUUGCGCAGCUGUAACUGAUGCUCGCUCACAUGGCUCACAUGGUCAUUAUCACUAUUCAUCGAGACAUAGCGGCAAGGGCGGCGGAAAAUGGCUUGGUGAUCUUUUCAAAGCAAUCGGACGUUUUUUCACAGCUAUAGUUGACUUUUUCAGACGUAAAAAGAGAAAUGAAGAGGAACAAGCCCGUUAUAAUGUGCAAUACACUUCUUAAGUAUCAAAAAAGUUAAAAAUCAAAACAGCAACAAAUACGCAGUAUUUGUAUAUACCACAUAAACUUGUAGCCGAUAUAGAGAGAAGAUUCUCAGUGCUGUUCUCUCUCUCAGCUUUCUUUCUACGCACUGCAAUCAAACAUUCUUUGGACUCUGCGCUCUACAAGUUAAUAUACGAUACAUUUAUCUAAAAA